UACGGAGGGUGCAAGCGUUGUUCGGAAUUACUGGGCGUAAAGGGCGCGUAGGCGGCCUGGGAAGUCUUGGGUGAAAGCCCCCGGCUCAACCGGGGAAGGGCCUGAGAAACCACUGGGCUGGAGUGCUGGAGAGGAAAGCAGAAUUCCUGGUGUAGCGGUGAAAUGCGUAGAGAUCAGGAGGAAUACCUGCGGCGAAGGCGGCUUUCUGGACAGACACUGACGCUGAGGCGCGAAAGCCAGGGGAGCAAACAGG
rnacentral:rRNA from 1 species